rnacentral:lncRNA from 1 species
GCUUAUCUUCUUUCAAGACAAUAUUAUGUGGCUUUAUAAAGUUCAGAGUUAGGCUUGCUUUACUUAAUUUUACACUGCAUUGCUGAGUAGAAACUGUUACUUCAAAGGAAAGAAUAAGGAACAAACUACAAUUUUAUUGUUGUUUAUAUAAAGUUUAAAAUUAAAUCCCUUUGUCUAUGGGUUAAAAUGUACCAUACAAAACUACACAAGUUAUUCAAUUGCUUUAUUAAACUAACAGCAUUUUUAGAUCAUGUUAACACAUGAUUUAAAUAUAGUGCAAUGUUUCCUAAUAUUCCUAAUUUCUAAUGGAACUUGUGUUGGUUGAUUUUGAAUCCUUGCUAGGCACAGCCCAUUUACUGAGAGUGAGGCACCAUGGUCUUCAUAACUCAUUCUUAGCAGUGUGGUAUUGUGCAUAUAUUUAAGUUAACAUUAGUUAAAAUGUAUUUAAUAUUUG